CCAGCAUCCCCUGGUGGCCACAAGGCCAUGGGGGAGUCAGCACAACCUGCAGAGAUCCCCUGGUUCAGGGUGGGUGGAAACAGGGGGUUCGGGGGCUGAACAGUUAGAGGCUGGCCAGGAGCUAGGGAACUGGAUAGGUAUGAAGGGUUUGAAGCUUACCUGUCGGAAGGUUCUGGGGUGGAGGAGUCUGUGGAGGGAGCUUCAGAGAGCAGGAGGGGCAUUAGAAGGCUGGGGCCCCUGCAAUCUAAUCUUUGUUGUGUAAUGCGUUUCCCGCCCUAUCCCAGCCUAGCUUCUGCCUGGUGAUCUCAGACCCCUGCAGGGCAGCUCCCCACUCACCCCUGCACCAUCCUCGCUGUCACAGUGCCUGAUGCCCCAAAACUGGAAGUGUGCCUGCCAUUGCCUUUCCCUGCCUGGUUUCCAGCAGUCCCAUCACAUGGCUCCAAAAAACAGCAUCGGGGUUUUUUUCUAGAACCCAAAUUUAUAAACAAGGGGCAAUGUCCUCUGACAAGGAAAUGGACCUUGGCAAACGUGUGUCAGGAGAGGAUGACUUGGAGGUGUCCACCGUGUUUCUUACUGAAGAUGUCUAAAAGUCAAUUGGGGUCAAGGAACAAGCCUCUACUCACAUGCAUGUGGGCAAAUGAAGUCACAGAACAAAUAACCUACCCUGCAUCCAGGCACGGAGUCCAGGGACACCCCCUGCUGCUGCCUAAGAGAAAGUGGCCCAAGAAGCACUGGCCCGGUGCCUGCUGAUGCCAGGAGCCCUCUGCUACUGCCUGACACAAGCAUCCUGCGCUUCCCCCUCCCAGGCCCUCCCCGAAAGCGUGGGCCACAGGUACCACUCCCUAUGCCACUGAGCCCCACAUUUCCCAUCCCCCAAGCCACUCCCACCAGCCCCAGAGCUUUCCUACAUUUAUGAUUUGUCCAAAAAUGUGAUGCCCUUCAGCCCCCAGAAGGUCAUCCUCCAGGCUGUGAUCGUCACACAGGGGGUCCCACAUGGGGUCCUCACAGGCCUUCAACCCAGCACAAAUCGUGGCCUGGUUUGACCUUUGAAAUAUCUCAACAUCUAAAAUUCAGAGCUUUUUUGGAAUAUUUAUUUUCCAUAGAUAUAAUUCUUUCAAAUAAAUUCCUUAGAAAACAAUAUCCAGUGUUUCAUUAUUUGUGCUAACAUGUGCUUUUCCCAUUUUGGAGAUGAAAAAUAUCAUUAGAAAUAAAAACUCAAGGGACAGAUUAAAC
rnacentral:lncRNA from 1 species